rnacentral:misc_RNA from 1 species
GAAAAGAACUUUGAAAAGAGAGUUAAAUAGUACGUGAAAUUGUUGAAAGGGAAACGAUUGAAGUCAGUCAUGCUAGUGGGAAUCAACUUGGAGGAAACUCUAGGUGCACUUCUUCACUUGGCAGGUUAGUGUCGAUUUUGGAUGUCAUAAAAUAACUGGGGGAAGGUAGCUCCUUUGGGAGUGUUAUAGCCCUUGGUAGAUGUGAUGUCUGGGAUCGAGGAUUGCAACGGAUACCCUUUAGGGCUAGUCACCUGAUCUCUAAUUAGUGUUGGAUUACGGACAGCAUGCUGACCGUGAUUU